rnacentral:rRNA from 1 species
UACUCCUACGGGGGGCAGCAGUGAGGAAUAUUGGUCAAUGGGCGAGAGCCUGAACCAGCCAAGUCGCGUGAGGGAAGACGGUCCUAUGGAUUGUAAACCUCUUUUGCCGGGGAGCAAAAAGCGGUACGUGUACCGCAUCGAGAGUACCCGGAGAAAAAGCAUCGGCUAACUCCGUGCCAGCAGCCGCGGUAAUACGGAGGAUGCGAGCGUUAUCCGGAUUUAUUGGGUUUAAAGGGUGCGCAGGCGGCGAGUUAAGUCUGGAGUGAAAGGUACCGGCUCAACCGGUACAGGCUCUGGAAACUGGG